UACGGAGGGUGGGAGCGUUGUUCGGAAUCACUGGGCGUAAAGGGCGUGUAGGCGGUCCGCUAAGUCUGAUGGGAAAGCCCGGGGCUCACCCCCGGAAGGGCAUUGGAAACUGGCGGACUCGAGUCCCGGAGAGGAAGGUGGAAUUCCUGGUGUAGCGGUGAAAUUCGUAGAUAUUGGGAAGAACACCGGUGGCGAAGGCGGCUCACUGGCUCAUAUCUGACGCUCAGGCGCGACAGCGUGGGGAUCAAACAGG
rnacentral:rRNA from 1 species